AACGAACGCUGGCGGCAUGCCUAACACAUGCAAGUCGAACGACACCUUCGGUUCUUGUGGCUCACGGGUACUUAACUCGUGGGAACCUUCCCUUCGGUUCGUAUUCACUCCCCGGAGGUGGUGCUCAUACCGGCUAAUUUCUUCCGCCCAAAGAUUUCUCGCCCUUGGAGGGGCCCUCGUUGGAUUACCUUGUUGGUAUGGUCAAAGCCUACCAAGGCGAGGAUCCAUAGCUGGUCUGAGAGAAUGAGCAGACACACUGGGACUGAGACACGGCCCAGACUCCUACGGGAGGGAGGAGAGGGGAAUAUAGGAAAAUGGGGGGAAGGAUGAAGGAGCAAUGCCGGGUGAGUGAUGAAGGCCAGAGGGAAGUAAAGCUCUUUUACACGGGAGGAGAAUGACAGUACCGGGAGAAUAAGCGCCGGCUAACUACGUG
rnacentral:rRNA from 1 species